rnacentral:rRNA from 1 species
ACGAACGCUGGCGGCCUGCCUCACACAUGCCAGUCGCACGAGACCUUCGGGUCUAGUGGCGCACGGGUGCGUCACGCGUGGGAACCUGCCCUUAGGUUCGGAAUAACUCCCCGAAAGGGGUGCUAAUACCGGAUAAUGUCUUCGGACCAAAGAUUUAUCGCCUUUGGAUGGGCCCGCGUUGGAUUAGCUAGUUGGUAGGGUAAAAGCCUACCAAGGCGACGAUCCAUAGCUGGUCUGAGAGGAUGAUCAGCCACACUGGGACUGAGACACGGCCCAGACUCCUACGGGAGGCAGCAGUGGGGAAUAUUGGACAAUGGGCGAAAGCCUGAUCCAGCAAUGCCGCGUGAGUGAUGAAGGCCUUAGGGUUGUAAAGCUCUUUUACCCGGGAUGAUAAUGACAGUACCGGGAGAAUAAGCUCCGGCUAACUCCGUG